CAAGCAGCUCUGUCAAGGCCAGAGGGUAGGCCCUACAGAGGUGCCUCCUCGGGGAGUCCAGAGGAACGUGGAAAGCGUGGAUCAGGUUCCUUCGGAAGAGCAAGGGAGGCUCUUCUAGAGAAAGCCAUUCAUCAGUGCUUCAUUCAUCUGGAUGCUUGUCAAGGUCUGGGGAAACAAAGGCAACAGAAUGUGAGCAUGAGAGGACGGGGCCCAGAGAGGGUUUCUCCUGUCCUGGUUGGGGGCAGGCAUGCAGUGAGCCCUCCAGGAAUUAGGACCCAGCUGGGAAGGGAAGACUCACCCGUGUGAAGCAAGGAGAGGGAGGCCACAAAGUCAAUGCUGAAACAGACACUAGAUAAAGGCUCCUGCCCGUGUUUUCCCUUCACUUCCUUUGCUUCCUGACCAACCUUGGUGUCUCCCGAUGCAGCCCUGCAUGAGAUUCCAUGCCUCUGGGAUCUAGGGAUCAGGAGAUGCUUGAGGACUGACCGGGGCAUGGAGCUUUGGGUCCUUGGCACCUGGCAGAGUGCACGGGGCAGUCAGUGCCGACUGGUGUGAAUGGAAGGAACACACAGGUGGGUGUCAGGUGAUGACGAUCCAUGUAGCUUUCCAGUCAGUGUGCAGUGUUUUCUGUCUUACCUCAUUCUGUCCUCUCUCAGACCCUCUAAGGGAGGUAGCUGUUAUCCCCACUUUACAGAUGAGAAGACUGAGGCUCGGGGAAGGGAAGGCAUUUGCCCAGCAGUCUGACCCAGUGGCUGCCUUCUGUGGAGUCUGCCACUGUCACAUUCACAAGUUUCAUUUGUCAUGUGACCGAGACUUCCUCACCUGUCAGCCUCCUCCUCAUGGCCGCUGGCUGCAUUCCAGCUCCUGAUCAAUGUGACAAAUGCCAACAGAGCCUCUCAGAGGUGACAGCAGAGGGCUGAGGACUGGGAGGCACCGGCUGACUCCUGACCUUGCUGUGCUCCCAGCUUGAGGGAGGAGGAAGGAUACUCUCAGAGGUGACCCUUGUCGCCCUUCCCCUCUGUGUCACAAACAGCUCUCCAGAAGCCCCGAUUCAUAGCAUUUGCCAGUUUCCAUGGUGCAAGAACUCCCACAGUAUGGAGUUAGCUACCUCUGUGUGGACCAAAUGUUUGCAUCCCCACUGGACCCCCCAAAUUCCCAUGUUGAAGCCCUAAGCACCAGUAGGGCUGUAUUCAGAGGUGGGGCCCCUAAGGAAAUAACCAAGGUUAAUGAGUCAUGGGGGUGGAGGGCUGAUCCUAUAGGACUAGUGUCCUUACAGAAAGUGAUGUCAGAGUGCUGCUGUCUCUGUCUCCACACGCACAUGCUGAGGGGAGGCCUUGUGAACACAUAGCAAGAUGGCGCCGCCUACAAGCUACAGGCGGUGACCUCAGGACACAACCUACCCUGCCAAACCUUGAUCUUGGACUUCCCGCACUCCAGAACUGAGAGAAAUUCCUGCUAUUUAAGUCACCCGGUCUGUGGCAUUUCAUCAUGGCAGCCCGAGCAGACUAAUACGACUCCCGAUGUGAAGUCACUGAAUUUGAGCCAAGAAGAAAUGCACAGUGGCAGGUGCUUCUACGUUAUUCCCACCAUGCAGAUGCAACAGCAUAAAUAACGUCAAGAGCAUAGAUAAUAGUAAUACGUGGUAAACUAUGUAGGCAGAGAUGAGCUUUCUUCCUUUUUAAUAUAAUUUAUUGUAAGGUUAUAUUUUUCUUUUUUUUUAAGUUUAUGUAUGUAUGUAUUUAUUUAUUUACAGUCCUGGGGGGGGAGGGGCAGAGAGAGAGGGAGAGAGAGAGAAUCUCAUUAGGCUCCACACAGUUAGCAGUGUGGAACCCCAUACGGGGCUCAAACUCAUGAAUUUUGAGAUCAUGACCUGAGCGGAAACUAUGAGUUGGAGGCGUAACUGGCUGAGCUACUCAGGUGCCCCAGGUUAUAUUUUUUUCUUGAUUAAAAAUUAAGA